AUCAGGGCAAUCAAAAAAUAUGAAGUUAAACAAAACAGUUGUUGAACUUAAAAAUAAUCUGCCUUCCACGAUCUCUACACCUAGAAAUUUUUUUCAUAAAGACCCAGAUUUUUUGCUACUACAAGCAAAGAUGCAAUAAAUAUAUGUGUACAUAUAUAUUUCUAUUGUGAUGAUUAAAUGUCUAUAAAACAGCAUGUAAAAGG